UUGUGUGUGAGGAGCAAGUGUAAAUCAAAAAGCGUCUGGGGUGGAAACACGGCAACACUCCCGGAUGUUUUUUGUU
rfam:Scytonema hofmannii PCC 7110 genomic scaffold Scaffold1, whole genome shotgun sequence.